GACGAACGCUGGCGGCGUGCUUAACACAUGCAAGUCGAACGGAAAGGCCCUGCUUUUGUGGGGUGCUCGAGUGGCGAACGGGUGAGUAACACGUGAGUAACCUGCCCUUGACUUUGGGAUAACUUCAGGAAACUGGGGCUAAUACCGGAUAGGAGCUCCUGCUGCAUGGUGGGGGUUGGAAAGUUUCGGCGGUUGGGGAUGGACUCGCGGCUUAUCAGCUUGUUGGUGGGGUAGUGGCUUACCAAGGCUUUGACGGGUAGCCGGCCUGAGAGGGGAGCUGGCCACAUGGGGACUGAGAGACGGCCCAGACUCCUACGGGAGGCAGCAGGGGGGAAGAUUGCACAAUGGGCGGAAGCCUGAGGCAGCAACGCCGCGUGCGGGAUGACGGCCUUCGGGUUGUAAACCGCUUUCGCCUGUGACGAAGCGUGAGUGACGGUAAUGGGUAAAGAAGCACCGGCUAACUACGUG
rnacentral:rRNA from 1 species